rnacentral:rRNA from 1 species
UAGGGAAUCUUCCACAGUGGACGCAAGUCUGAUGGAGCAACGCCGCGUGAGUGAAGAAGGUUUUCGGACCGUAAAGCUCUGUUGUUGGUGAAGAAGGAUAGAGGUAGUAACUGGCCUUUAUUUGACGGUAAUCAACCAGAAAGUCACGGCUAACUACGUGCCAGCAGCCGCGGUAAUACGUAGGUGGCAAGCGUUGUCCGGAUUUAUUGGGCGUAAAGCGAGCGCAGGCGGAAGAAUAAGUCUGAUGUGAAAGCCCUCGGCUUAACCGAGGAAUUGCAUCGGAAACUGUUUUUCUUGAGUGCAGAAGAGGAGAGUAGAACUCCAUGUGUAGCGGUGGAAUGCGUAGAUAUAUGGAAGAAUACCAGUGGCGAAGGCGGCUCUCUGGUCUGCAACUGACGCUGAGGCUCGAAAGCAUGGGUAGCGAACAGGAUUAGAUACCCUGGUAGUCCAUGCCGUAAACGAUGAGUGCUAAGUGUUGGGAGGCUUCCGCCUCUCAGUGCUGCAGCUAACGCAUUAAGCACUCCGCCUGGGGGAGUACGACCGCAAGGUUGAAAC